GGUGGUUUGGCUCAGUGCUAGAGCAUCUGUUUUGCAUGAGGAUGGUCCCAGAUUCAAACCCUGGCAUCUCUA
rnacentral:tRNA from 1 species